AAGUCGUAACAAGGUUUCCGUAGGUGAACCUGCGGAAGGAUCAUUACUGAGUGCGGGCCCGCUCUGGGCCCAACCUCCCACCCGUGUCUCUUGCGUACUUUGUUGCUUUGGCGGGCCCACUGGGUCACUCCGGUCGCCGGGGAGCGCUAUGCUCCCGGGCCCGUGCCCGCCAGAGCACCCCUGUGAACCCUGAUGAAGAGAGGCUGUCUGAGUUCCACGAUAAUCGUUAAAACUUUCAACAAUGGAUCUCUUGGUUCCG
rnacentral:misc_RNA from 1 species